AGGGAAUAAUUCAUAAGUGCCAACUGCAUGGAAUGAUACUCAUGAAAAGCUUCUUACCUAUGAGUUAUAAAAUAAUUGUGAAUUCAGAAGAUAAUUUAAAACAAGAUGACGUAAUGAAAGUUUGGACUGGAAAAAAAAUUUCUUCCUAAUCUGGAUGCAGGAAGACCAUUAGUAAAAUCUAGAUCUGAGCUGGUGAACUUGAAGAAUGAAGUGUUUGUUGAUGUUAUUGAGAAAAUAGUGGUCCAUAUUUCUAAAGAGAACCUGAAGACUGAAGUGUUUGUUGAUGUUAUUGAAAAAAUAGGGGUCCAUAUUUCUAAAGAGUGCAAACUGCAUGGAAUGAUACAUAUGAAAAGCUUCUUACCUGUGAGUCAUAAAAUAAUUGUGAAUUCAAACGUAAUGAAAGGUA